GACGAACGCUGGCGGCGUGCUUAACACAUGCGAGUCGAACGGUGAAGCGCCUUCCUUUUUGGUGGGUGUGGAUGAGUGGCGAACGGGUGAGUAACACGUGAGUAACCUGCCCCCUUCUUCUGGAUAACCGCAUGAAAGUGUGGCUAAUACGGGAUAUUCUGGGUCUGUCGCAUGAUGGGUCUGGGAAAGAUAUUGUUUCGGUGGGGGAUGGGCUCGCGGCCUAUCAGCUUGUUGGUGGGGUGAUGGCCUACCAAGGCGGUGACGGGUAGCCGGCCUGAGAGGGUGGACGGUCACACUGGGACUGAGACACCGCCCAGACUCCGACGGGCGGCAGCAGGGGGGAAUAUUGCACAAUGGGCGCAAGGCUGAUGCAGCGACGCCGCGUGAGGGAUGGAGGCCUUCGGGUUGUGAACCUCUUUCGCCAGUGAAGCAGGCCUGCCUAGUUUGUGGGUGGGUUGACGGUAGCUGGAUAAGAAGCGCCGGCUAACUACGUG
rnacentral:rRNA from 1 species